rnacentral:tRNA from 1 species
GCCCGGGUGGUGGAAUUGGUAGACACGCCAGACUUAAAAUCUUGUGAGCCUUGUGCUCGUGCGGGUUCAAGUCCCGCCCCGGGUA